rnacentral:tRNA from 1 species
GCCACUGUGGCUCAGCGGCAGAGCGACUGAUUCGUAAUCAGUUGGUCGGGGGUUCAAUUCCCUCCAGUGGCUCCA